rnacentral:rRNA from 1 species
UACGGAGGGUGCAAGCGUUAUCCGGAUUUACUGGGCGUAAAGCGCACGUAGGCGGAUCGAUCAGUCAGGGGUGAAAUCCCAGGGCUCAACCCUGGAACUGCCUUUGAUACUGUCGAUCUGGAGUAUGGAAGAGGUGAGUGGAAUUCCGAGUGUAGAGGUGAAAUUCGUAGAUAUUCGGAGGAACACCAGUGGCGAAGGCGGCUCACUGGUCCAUUACUGACGCUGAGGCGCGAAAGCUCGGGGAGCGAACGGG